rnacentral:rRNA from 3 species
AGGGAAACCGAGUCUUAACUGGGCGUUAAGUUGCAGGGUAUAGACCCGAAACCCGGUGAUCUAGCCAUGGGCAGGUUGAAGGUUGGGUAACACUAACUGGAGGACCGAACCGACUAAUGUUGAAAAAUUAGCGGAUGACUUGUGGCUGGGGGUGAAAGGCCAAUCAAACCGGGAGAUAGCUGGUUCUCCCCGAAAGCUAUUUAGGUAGCGCCUCGUGAACUCAUCUUCGGGGGUAGAGCACUGUUUCGGCUAGGGGGUCAUCCCGACUUACCAACCCGAUGCAAACUGCGAAUACCGAAGAAUGUUAUCACGGGAGACACACGGCGGGUGCUAACGUCCGUCGUGAAGAGGGAAACAACCCAGACCGCCAGCUAAGGUCCCAAAGUCACAGUUAAGUGGGAAACGAUGUGGGAAGGCUCAGACAGCCAGGAUGUUGGCUUAGAAGCAGCCAUCAUUUAAAGAAAGCGUAAUAGCUCACUGGUCGAGUCGGCCUGCGCGGAAGAUGUAACGGGGCUAAACUGUGCACCGAAGCUGCGGCAGCGACGCUUAUGCGUUGUUGGGUAGGGGAGCGUUCUGUAAGCCUGCGAAGGUGUCCUGUGAGGGAUGCUGGAGGUAUCAGAAGUGCGAAUGCUGACAUAAGUAACGAUAAUGCGGGUGAAAAGCCCGCUCGCCGGAAGACCAAGGGUUCCUGUCCAACGUUAAUCGGGGCAGGGUGAGUCGACCCCUAAGGCGAGGCCGAAAGGCGUAGUCGAUGGGAAACGGGUUAAUAUUCCCGUACUUGGUGUUACUGCGAAGGGGGGACGGAGAAGGCUAUGUUGGCCGGGCGACGGUUGUCCCGGUUUAAGCGUGUAGGCUGGUUUUCCAGGCAAAUCCG